CAAUAGCGUAUAUUAAAGUUGUUGCAGUUAAAAAGCUCGUAGUUGAAUUUCUGUCAGGAGUGACCGGGCCUUUGGAUGAACUUCCACUGUUUUUUGCUCUGUUUGUCAUCUCUAGACAUCCUGAAAUAUUUUUUAAAAAUAUUUCUCUUUUACUGUUAGCAAAAUAGAGUGUUCCAAGCAAAGCGUAGUUUUGAAUACAUUAGAAUGGAAUAAUAAGAUAGGACUUUGGUGCUAUUUUGUUGGUUUGCACACCAAGGUAAUGAUUAAUAGGGACAGUUGGGGGUAUUCGUAUUUAAUUGUCAGAGGUGAAAUUCUUGGAUUUAUGAAAGACGAACUACUGCGAAAGCAUUUACCAAGAAUGUUUUCAUUAA
rnacentral:rRNA from 1 species